UACGUAGGGUGCAAGCGUUGUCCGGAAUUAUUGGGCGUAAAGGGCUCGUAGGCGGUCCAUCGCGUCGGGAGUGAAAAGCUGGGGCUUAACCCCAGUCCUGCUUCCGAUACGGGCGGACUGGAGUUCGGCAGGGGAGACUGGAAUUCCUGGUGUAGCGGUGAAAUGCGCAGAUAUCAGGAGGAACACCAAUGGCGAAGGCAGCUCGCUGGGACGUGACUGACGCUGAGACGCGAAAGCGUGGGGAGCAAACAGG
rnacentral:rRNA from 1 species